CGUUCGGCCACCUUCGGCGUAGGCAAUUGCGUAUAUCCAACGCAAACUUCUACCCAACACCGACCGUUCCACCGACCCAUCCUUGUCGGCCACAACAACUAAGAAGGAUCCAUCUCAGCCGUUGCUUCUUUCUUUUAUUCUCUGAUCUAGAUCGUUGGCUUCCUCACUGCAACCCUAUAAAGGACGGCUCCCUGCCCUUAAACACGACCUUCGUUUUUGGUUGUGGCAAUGCGUCGUUACGCGUCUGCGGUGUCCUUUAAGUGGAUCCUCAGCCAUCCGUAAUCGAUGAUUUCGUUUUCGGAUUGGACGAUCCGUCGAUCGUUGAUUUCGUUUUCGGAUUGGAUGAUCUGUUUCCGAUAGGUGGUGCAUCCAAAUCCUCAGCCAUCCCUUAAUCGUUGAUUUCGUUGACGAAUGGGAUGUUCUGUUCUCGGCACUUGAAACAGAUAUACUUUCCAUGCGGGGUGUAUCAAAAUCCUUUUGUUCAUGUGGCUUUCGUUUUCGGGGACUUAGACAUUGGUCUUGAACGAAUCGGGUGAUCUAUUGUCAAUCGCUGCGGAUCGAAAGCGUUUGAUAUCUGUUGUUUUUGUUUUCUGAACGAAUUGGAUGAUCUAUUUUUUUCCCAAAGGAAUAUUGAGAGGCGAGGAGUUCCGAUUAGUGGAAUCCGACUAGUGGAUUAUUCUUUAACCGCUCUUUUUUUUAUUUUCUUGCGAUCUAUCAGAGGCCUUCACAAUUUUGCCGGAUUAAGGCUAUUUGCGACAGAUUUUAUAUGUACUUUCGAAGCGGUAGGUGAGGCUGUGGUGUUUGUGUGGGUAUUAUCCUAAUGGAACCCCCGCGGAGUCUGUGAUGCAAUUUGUGAAGGUUGCUCUGGUUUUCCGAAAUGAUCUGAACAAGGGAUGUGUCCUGUUUGUUCUGGUUUAGUUGGCCUUCGUUACGUUCAACUUUUAUUUGUUGCAUUUAUGUCCACCAGUUAGUUAUGUUUGUUUGUUUUUAUUUUUUGUGUGCAAGGGAAAGCGUCUGGAUAUGAUAUUUGAAAGAGAGAGGUGAGUGUUUUUCUACCUUGUUAUGAUAUUUGGUUUGAGAUAUGCGCUAACCGUAUCAGCAUCAAUGCUGUGUCUUUUGGAUACUCUAGUUGGAUUUAGACGGGUCUCAGGGAAGAGUUCCAUCAUCUUCUCAUUUAUUGAGGUUGCCUGUUAAAUUGUUGAUUAUUUUUCCUGUCCUCCUUCUGUCAGCAUUUUAUAUAUAUUGAAGUUAAGUUUAUCUCUUUAUUUUCUGAAUGUUCUAUUCCUAGUGUUUUUGUGGGCAGUUGCAGAAGCAUCAUCGUUAGGCAUGAUUCUAUUAAAUAGAGAUGGUAACUCCUUUGUUGGAUUGUUUUUGGUAUGAGACCUAGGAUUUUACAUUUUUGAUAAGGCUAGUUUCUGUGGCAGAUUCUAUAUGUAUCAUCGAUGCUGUUGGUGGGGCUAUGGUGUUUUUGUAGUUAUUAUCUGUAUGGAGCCACACGUAGCUGUGAUGCAGUUUGUAAAGGAUGCUCCAAUUAAGGAUGCUCCAAUUAAGGAUGCUCUGGUUUUUGUUGAAUGAUUUAAAUAGGUUUUCCAUUGGAUAGUGUUAUAUUUAAGGGGUUUCAUUGUUGUGACAUGUCGCUUAUUAUGAUGGAUCCAGGGCUUCCGAAAUUAUCUGAACAGUGGAUGUGUCCGGUUUGUGCUAGUUUAGUCAGCCCUUGUUACUUUCAAACAUUAAUUGUUGCCCUUACGUGCACAAGUUGGCCAUUUGAUACGGUUCUCAUCAAAGUAUGGUUGUUUGUUUUUAUUUGUUGUCUGCUAGGGGAAGCUGAUGGACAUCUAGUUUUGCAUGGGCAUGGGACAUUUUUUUGAAAGUGACAUCUAGUAUUUGGUUUCGAUAUGUUCUUACUCUAUCAUCAUUCAUGGAAGAGGUUCCUUUCACUUUUCAUUGGCUAUUUAAUUGUUGAUUGUCUGUCUACUUAUUCCAUUGGCUUGGUUCGUACAUUUUAUAAAUUUGCACUUUUGAAGUCAGUCUUUCUCUUUGUUUUCUGAAUGUUCUAUUUGUAGGGUUUUUGUGUGCAGUUGCAGAAGCAUCAGUAUCAGCAUUAGCCAUAAGCCUGGUUAUUAGGAUUAGGACCUUUCUUGGAUAGAAUUUUUGGUACGAGACAUACGUUUUGCCUGUUUUAAAAGGAUAGUUUAGAUUUAGGUGUUUAAUUUAUGCACGUUUGUGAUAUUAAGUUUUUGUCCAAUUGUUAAUUGUUCUUGUUGUUGUGAUUUUUUAGCUGUUACUUGCUUGGCAAGUCUUUUUGGUCAUACUAAUGUCUCAUUUGUCUCUUCUUGGAUUCUGUCAGAUUUCUAUUUUGCAGCUUAAUUAUCUUUUUUGUUUUAACCUGCCUCUGGUCAUCUGAUGUUUGGUUUCAGUUAGCUUGUAGAUGUUUUUUUAGUAUGACAUUUAAUCAUAUUUUGCUUUGAGUAAAUAACUUUGAUUGGUCUUUACUUUGAUUGGCUCAUGUUCUAUUGUUUUUUAUUCUACUUUAUCUCUUAUUAGUUGGCAUUUUUUAAGUUCUCUGUACAAUUUAUAGUUUUUUGUUCCAUGUAAACUUUUUUGUCCUUGUGUGUUUCUAGUGUAACUUUUGACAGGUGUCUUUUAUGUUGCCCUAUAAUGCUGAUGUGGCCUCAUAUGAGAGAUUAUUUUACCUUAAACAAUUCAUCAUGUUGUUUGUUUGCAGGAUUUAAAUAGGGUAUAUGGAAGGUUAUUUUGUUUGCCUAUUUGGUUUAUUACAUCCAGUUGUAUUAUUGGCUGCUCUUUCCAGAUGAAAUUUGGAUUUUCUGUCCUGGUUUUCUACAAUUAGUUAUUUCGUUUGGUAGCAGGAUUUUAUUUUGGAGUUAAUACAUUUCUAAAUUGGGUUAAUUACAUCCUUUGGUGUUCUUGGCUGGUUGUAUUAGAGGAAGUCAGCUAAUUUUGUUGAAUAACUUGAAUUCUGUAGUCAUUGUUUCCAUUGGCAUCAUUGCUGUUCAUUUAUUGCCAAAAUGCAGUCCAACAGUGCAAAGUUGUUACAUUUGAAAGGUCAAAUUAUUUUCACGGACUUUUUGAUCCUUUGGCUUAUAAAAGUUCUCUGCUACGUUUCUCUUCCUCUUAAUUAACUUCCUUAUCUCUUUUGAAUCUUGUUUCCUUUAUCUUGUGUGGAAGUUAGGACAUGGUAAUGAUUUUACGUACAGGUACUUGUGCUAUUAAGGUGUCUUUGUUGGUGAUCUUGGGUUAUGAUAAUUGUACUUCAUUGUUAUAUCGAUUUUUGAAUCAAUUCAAUAGCACAAUUGAUGGCUUAAAAAACAAGUGGGUUUUAAGAUGCAUUAUUACUUUUUUCUUGUAUCAAGUUGGAGGGAGGUACAGGCAUGCUGUGUUCUCUUGUUUUUCCUUGAAAUUCAUUUUAUAUUGCUGAUUUUUAUUAGAAGUGGUAAGUUAACUUCUCAGGCUGAUGUACUUUUGGCUGCUCAUUUUAUGUGUUGUUUGUCUACUUGAAGCUUGUUUUGGGAGUUGGGUUUCACGUUAAGAAAGCUGGGUUUCUCUUCAUUAUGGAGCCUUCACAUUAUAAACAAAGGAGUCCAAUUUUCAUCAAGGAAUCUUCUUGUGGGGACCCAAUUACUAAUUGAAUAUAUUUCCUUUAUGAAGAUUCUGCAACCAUAGCUGAUACAAACAAGUUUUCAAGAUUGUUGUUUUUGAUUUGCAUGAUGAAGAGAAUAGAAGUCCUAACCUAUACUCUUGGUAAUUUUCAUUCGCUUCUUGUCCUGUUGGACGGAGAUAUCUUCUGGAAUGGGCCUAAAAAAUUUUAUUAUUUGCAUGUUGUUUUUGAUAGUAUGUGUAGACAAUAUACUUAGUUCUAACGUGAUCAACAUUAGGUCUUUAGGAGUUUAUGAUAUCAUAAUGUCACGGACUUAGUUAGAAUUGCCUAAGUCGUGAGGCAUCAUUGUAACAAUUGUCAUUGCCUUAGUUGGAGUUGUCUAAGUCGUGAAGCACCCUUACGUCAACUUCUCAGUCUUAGUUGAGAUUUCCUAAGUCAUGAGGUGCCAUUGCGAUACAUGCAUUCGUAAAGGAUUAGUCUAGUUACAAUCUUGUGCAGGUCAUGAAAGACCUGUAAAACAGUAAGUUAAUUAGUUUGAAAAUGAGCUGCGGACAAGUCUCACGUUUCGCGAAGAGAGAAGCUUUACAAGCAAUUCAGUGAGCACCUUGAGUACAAGAGAGAAAAGAGAGGAAGGAGGAAAUAAGGACUUUAGAAGGUUGAUCGAACAAUUAUAAGCCUGCAAACAAUUGUUCAUCGGGUAUCAUGCGCGAAGGUAAGUUCCCAUCAAAUUAUAAUGAUUAUAGUUGAGAUUCUUUAUUGUGAGAGAUUAAGAAUUUUGUUGCCAAUUAACCUUCAAAGAUAGAUAAGCUAUGACUUGCAGCUCAACUUUUUCACUUCUAUCAUUGAUGUUCUACCUUUGUUGUAGUGAUCUUUUUUUUUAUUAAUUACUGGUCAUUGCAUGUUGACAUGUUGGUGGAUAUUUUCUUCUGAUGGGUUUUGACUUGUCAUUUGAUGAAUCCAGUGAUGGGGUUGGAUGUCUUUUUAGUUCUCCCGGUGUACUUUCUUUUUUCUGGGUAGAUAAAAAAUUUUGCUUCUAUUUUGGUGUAUAUUUUGGUUUUAAUAACCAUAUAAUGUCAAGAACUACUGUUGUUUCCUGUGUUUGAUGCAUUAUGGGUGUAGGCUUUGAAUGAGUAUGCAAGUUUAUAAUUUCUUUGCUUAUAUGUGUUGUAUUUCAAAUGUGUUUGGGAAAAAGAAUUGAGCAGCAUGUUGAUAAGAUUUUUGAGGGCGAGGUGCAUCUUUUCUCUACUUGAAUGACUUCUAUGAUGAAGCAAAGAUGUACGAUGCCAGGAACCAAGAUUGCAAAAUGUUUAUAAGCUAACUAUUGAUUUCUUCAUUGUAUAACAGUCAUUGUUUUCUUCAUUGGAUUGCAGACAUGAAAAGAUUGACUUCCUUUUGCAAAGCUAAUUACUGUUUGAAAGUUAAUUAUUAAUUUCUUCACUGUAGUUGGAACAUCUACAUAAAGCCUAGCAUAAUCAAUGUUAAUGGAAAUUCAUGGGAAAGACCCAUGAUUAAGUAGAUUGAAAAGCUUGGAACCGACUUUUAGGUUGAUCUGAUCCACUAGUCUCCAUUGCUGUUGCCCAUGAUGUUAGCAAGUUCUGAUUUUGUAGUAUUUUCCUGUAUGUACAUGUUUAUAUGAUUCAAAGAACUGUGGAAGGUUCGAUUAGGACACUGAAAAGGUUGGAAAAUGACUUUUGAGUUGAUUCACUUGUGUCUGUUGCUGUUGCCUGUGAUGUUUUGCAAUUCAUUAUUGGAUUUUGUUUAAUUUUCCUGUGCUCACAUUGAAUGAUUUGCUUAUGUUUUGUUACAGGUGAUGUGAACAAUGUAGUUGGAACAUCUACGGAAAGCCUAGCAUGAUUAAACAGAAAUUCAUGGGAAAUACGUUAUUGGCUUUUAACUGGUUUUCCCAGGAUUAACAUUAGAUUGAAAAGCUUGGAACUGACAUUUGAAUUGAUCCGCUAGUACCUGUUGCUGUUGCCCAUGAUGUUUGCAAGUUUUGGUUGGAUUUUGUUCUUUUCCUGUGUGUACAUGUUUUUAUAUGGUUCAAAGAACUCUGGAAGGUUGUGUUUGGUUGAAAGGGGACGGUGCAUUUGGAUUGAGAUUAGCAAAUUGAAAAGAUUGGAAAAUGACUUUUGAUUGAGAUUAGGGCAUUGAGAAGGUUGGAAAAUGAUUUUUUAGUUGAUUUGCAAGUCUCAGUAUCUAUUACCGGUGAUGUUCUGCAAUUUAUGGAUGGAUUUUGUUUUA